UACAGAGGGGUCAAGCGUUGUUCGGAAUUACUGGGCGUAAAGGGCGCGUAGGCGGCCUGCUAAGUCGAACGUGAAAUCCCUGGGCUCAACCCAGGAACUGCGUCCGAUACUGGUUGGCUUGAAUCCGGGAGAGGGAUGUGGAAUUCCAGGUGUAGCGGUGAAAUGCGUAGAUAUCUGGAGGAACACCGGUGGCGAAGGCGACAUCCUGGACCGGCAUUGACGCUGAGGCGCGAAAGCCAGGGGAGCAAACAGG
rnacentral:rRNA from 1 species